rnacentral:lncRNA from 1 species
AGCAGAGAUGGAAGGAUAUGAAGUGGCUAGCCACUGGACAAGCUGGGAGAAGAACAGGCCAUCUAAGAGCCAUCCGCUCUGGGCUAGGAAAGAGCUUGCCUGUUAACAAGAGGAAGGUGGGCACAGUGAAGCAUGGUAAGCAGGGGUUAAGCUGCAGAGAGGCUGAGAGGGAAACCUGGGUGGACACCAACGACUUCCCAGCUGUGGUUCCCGUGGAAAAUACCUACAGUAAAACAUCAUCUUUCCUACACUCCCUGCUGCCCCGUGGCCCUUUGUGGUCAGUGAGAUUAAGGUGUAAAUUUGCUGUGUGGAUCUUGUGAAAACUUGAGGUUUCCAUGGUGAGAGAGGGGGCCUGACUUGCUUCACAAGUACUUUCUUUAUCCCUGCUGGGAAAGGGGCAGCUCUAUCCUGUCAGAAGCUGUGCCGAGUAAGGUAUAAUAAGAAGGAAAUCUCAAGCCUGGACAACCUUCAAGAAGAACAGAGGAAAACAAAUUACAAAUUUCUACUUGGCUAAA